rnacentral:rRNA from 1 species
AGAGUUGAUCCUGGCUCAGGACGAACGCUGGCGGCGUGCCUAACACAUGCAAGUCGAACGGACCGCGGAGGGCUUGCUCUCCAAGGUUAGUGGCGAACGGGUGCGUAACACGUGAGGAACGUACCCACCGGUGAGGAAUAGCCGGCCCAACGGCCGGGUAAUACCGCAUGCGACAUCUUUCGGGCAUCCGAGAGGUGGGAAAGCAGCAAUGCGCCGGUGGAGCGUCUCGCGGCCUAUCAGCUUGUUGGUGGGGUAAUGGCCCACCAAGGCUACGACGGGUAGCUGGUCUGAGAGGAUGAUCAGCCACAUUGGGACUGAGACACGGCCCAGACUCCUACGGGAGGCAGCAGUGGGGAAUAUUGCGCAAUGGCCGAAAGGCUGACGCAGCGACGCCGCGUGCGGGACGAAGGCCUUCGGGUCGUAAACCGCUGUCAGGAGGGACGAACACAAUGACGGACCAUCAGAGGAAGCCCCGGCUAACUCCGUGCCAGCAGCCGCGGUAAUACGGAGGGGGCAAGCGUUAUUCGGAAUUAUUGGGCGUAAAGGGCGCGUAGGCGGCCUAGCAAGUCAAAGGUGAAAUCCCUCGGCCUAACCGAGGAACUGCCUUUGAUACUGCUUGGCUUGAGGCCGGGAGAGGCGAGUGGAAUUCCCGGUGUAGCGGUGGAAUGCGUAGAUAUCGGGAAGAACACCGGUGGCGAAGGCGGCUCGCUGGGCCGGUGCUGACGCUGAGGCGCGAAAGCGUGGGGAGCAAACAGGAUUAGAUACCCUGGUAGUCCACGCCGUAAACGAUGGGUACUAGGCGUCGGGGGGAACGACCCCUUCGGUGCCGUCGCUAACGCAGUAAGUACCCCGCCUGGGGAGUACGGCCGCAAGGCUGAAACUCAAAGGAAUUGACGGGGGCCCGCACAAGCGGUGGAGCAUGUGGUUUAAUUCGAGGCAACGCGAAGAACCUUACCUGGGCUUGACAUGCACGAGAAAGCCGGUGGAAACAUCGGCCCCUCUUCGGAGUUCGUGCACAGGUGCUGCAUGGCUGUCGUCAGCUCGUGUCGUGAGAUGUUGGGUUAAGUCCCGCAACGAGCGCAACCCUUGUCCUUAGUUACCAGCACAUUAUGGUGGGGACUCUAAGGAGACUGCCGGUGUUAAACCGGAGGAAGGUGGGGAUGACGUCAAGUCCUCAUGGCCCUUAUGCCCAGGGCUACACACGUACUACAAUGGUCGGUACAAAGAGGAGCGAGCCCGCGAGGGGGAGCAAAUCUCAAAAAGCCGGUCCCAGUUCGGAUUGGAGUCUGCAACUCGACUCCAUGAAGGCGGAAUCGCUAGUAAUCGCGGAUCAGCAUGCCGCGGUGAAUCCGUUCCCGGGCCUUGUACACACCGCCCGUCACACCAUGAGAGUCGCUUGUACCAGAAGUGCGUAGGCCAACCUUCGGGAGGCAGCGUACCAAGGUAUGGGUGGUAAUUAGGGUGAAGUCGUAACAAGGUAACCA